rnacentral:misc_RNA from 1 species
GAUGAAGAACGUAGUGAAAUGCGAUACUUGGUGUGAAUUGCAGAAUCCCGUGAACCAUCGAGUCUUUGAACGCAAGUUGCGCCCGAAGCCAUUAGGCCGAGGGCACGCCUGCCUGGGCGUCACACGUCGUUGCCCCCCCAUCUACUCCUUCGGGAUUGCGGGGGGCGGAUGAUGGCCUCCCGUGCGCCUCGCCGCGCGGUUGGCAUAAAUGCCAAGUCCUCGGCGACGCACGCCACGACAAUCGGUGGUUGCGAAACCUCGGUUGCCCGUCGUGUGCGGUCGUCGCGCAUCGAGGGCUCGAAAAAAUUGCCGGGUUCCGGCUCGGCUUUCAACGCGACCCCAGGUCAAGCGGGGUUACCCGCUGAAUUUAAGCAUAUCAAUAAGCGGAGGA